UACGAGGGGUGCAAGCGUUGCUCGGAAUUAUUGGGCGUAAAGGGUAGGUAGGUGGUCUCAUUUGUCUGGGGUGAAAGCCUUGAGCUUAACUCGAGAAGUGCCUCAGAAACGGUGAGACUAGAGUUCUGGAGAGGGUCGUGGAAUUCCCGGUGUAGCGGUGAAAUGCGUAGAGAUCGGGAGGAACACCAGAGGCGAAGGCGGCGACCUGGACAGAUACUGACACUCAACUACGAAAGCGUGGGGAGCAAAC
rnacentral:rRNA from 1 species